rnacentral:sRNA from 1 species
UAAGGAAUAUAGAAUAUGCUUAUUAUGCCAACGAUUGGCCGUAUAAUGGACUAGGAUUGAACUAUGUGUUUCAAUGACGGUAUAAUUUACAGUUGAUAUUAUCAUCUGGAGCUGCUGUUGGACUAUCUAGCAACUUUGUGCGCUCGGUGGUGAGAGACAGAUGCUUCAUCCUUUUUUGACCCUUCCGGUCUCCUAGCCCAAGCUGGGGCUUGGUCAGGUCCAUAGCGGUAAUCAUAAAAGAGUUCCUCGCUAGCCUCAAUGCGGUCCUUUGCAUAGAUACCAACUCGAUGAUCGCCAGCCACCAUCAUUACCUUCGCAUAGCAGUUAGGAUUCGACGAGUGAUUUGCAAACUUCAGUUUAUCCCCCUUGCGAUAAGCAUCCAUUCACACCUGCUCAUUUAAAUCAAAUAGGAACGAUGAAUUUGCUCGAUCAUAUAUUUUGCCACGCUUAUCUGCUUCUCUAUGAGAAAUCAAUUCGCCAGUGUAUUCACCAAGGUAAUCAUUUCUAUUUACUGGGUUCUACAUAUAAACAAGCAAUACAAGACUAGAGCUCUCACACGUUGUUGUUGUUUUAAGAGGAGUUUCAUGUUUCCACACUGAUAGCCAUCACCUCUUGCCAGUGGCUCACCUAUGCACAACAUGCUGAUUACCUCACCCAGCAGUUUCUGCAAACAUCUGGAUCACAUUCACGACUGGCAGCAAAACACGGGCACUGUCUGCUUCUGCAUUGACUUUUUGCGCAAUGACAUCCUCUAAACCUAUUUUUGCAGCUCUUUGAGCACCUUACUUCUCGCAACAAGUUCCAUUUUCCACACAGGCGCAAUCUUUGCCACACAUUUGCUGACACCCACAUGGGUUAUACUGAGUGUACCAUUGCUUUCCAUCACCGAUUCUUUUUCUUACAGUUGGAUGCCCUGCAGACUUCCAAGUGUAUUUGAGCUUUCGAGCUCGGCCCUUACGACGACAGAUUCUUGUCCUUGCCACCAAAUCUUGCUCCUGCAAAGAGAUGAGUAAAUAAUUGUGUCACUGGAAUAGAGGUCUCUUUGCCAUUGCCGCACCAUUGUUGUACAUGUAGCUGGCCACUUCCAUGCAGGUCUUCAGGCCAGACAAUAGGUUUCUAGCUAUGAGACAACUAAUUACCUGUUUUUCCCAAAUAUCUCAAUUCCCUUCAAGUACAAAUCUCUCUCUAAAGCACUCCAAUGAGAAA